GAUGGUGGCAGCAAGUGUUGUGGCCAAGAUCGGCAGAUCGUGGGAGUAUAGAUACACCACGAUCCUAAAGAAGUGGUCUGUGAGAUUUGUUUUGUUCCUCUAUCGCGCCUUGCCUUGCUUAGCCUGAUGCGUGGGGCAGCGGCGGGUGUGGUACUGUCGCUGUUACUGCCGCUACUGCUGCUGGAGGAGUCACACACGUUCGAGGCCGUCGCUGGUGUGUGGCGACGUGGAGCAGCGACGUGGUUCUCGCCACUCCUGAGGCCUCUGGUGACUGGCAGUGUACGCUCCUAUUUUGGGUCUCAAGGAAGGAUAGUUUUCCCUCCCCAGCCGAGAAGAGGGCCCGGAUUUCUGCCACAUCUGAGUCCUGGGGCGGCUGGCAGAGGAUGCUCCUCUUUUAGCUUUCAAGAAGGGGCAGCCUUUCAUCCCCAGCCCGGGAGCAGCCACUUGUGGAGUGCAGCGAGUUACUACCCGCGCUGGCCAGACCGAGUCCGCCACGACUUCACGAGCGAAGGAAAGAUGAGUCUUAGCAAGGAGGACGCCAGACAGCCCCGUCGCCUGCCUCUCGUGCAGGCUCGUCACCAGAUAAACAACCCACGACGGCAGAAGCAGGACAGCCCUCAGGAUCACCGCAAGCCUUCCUCUGAUUCCCUCUGGUACUGGGACUGAGAGAGAAAACUGAAACAAACAGCAGCUACGACAGAAAAAAAAAAUGAAUAAAUAAAUAAAUAAAAAUAA